GUGCCAGCAGCCGCGGUAAUACCAGCUCCGCGAGUGGUCGGGACGAUUAUUGAGCCUAAAGCGCUCGUAGCCGGUCCGGUAAGUCCUGUGCUAAAUCCAACGGCUCAACCGUUGGGCCGCAUGGGAUACUGCUGGGCUAGGGAGCGGAAGAGGCCAGGGGUACUCCCGGGGUAGGGGCGAAAUCCUAUAAUCCCGGGAGGACGACAGUGGCGAAGGCGCCUGGCUAGGACGCGUCCGACGGUGAGGGGCGAAAGCUGGGGGAGCGAACCGGAUUAGAUACCCGGGUAGUCCCAGCUGUAAACGAUGCGGAUUGGGUGCCGGUACGGCUUCGGGCCGUAUCGGUGCCUCAGGGAAGCCGUUAAAUCCGCCGCUUGGGGAGUACGGUCGCAAGACUGAAACUUAAAGGAAUUGCGGGGGAGCACCACAAGGGGUGAAGCCUGCGGCUCAAUUGGAGUCAGCGCCGGGAACUUUACCGGGGGCGACAGCAGUAUGAGGGCCAAGCUGAUGACUUUGCCCGACGCGCUGAGAGGUGGCGCAUGGCCGUCGCCAGCUCGUGCCGUGAGGUGUCUGGUUAAGUCCAGGAACGAGCGAGACCCUCACCCCUAGUUGCCACCGCGCAAGCGGGCACACUAGGGGGACCGCCACCGCUAAGGUGGAGGAGGGAGGGGGCAACGGCAGGUCAGCAUGCCCCGAAUCCCCCGGGCCGCACGCGGGCUGCAAUGGUGGAGACAAUGGGUUCCGAACCCGAAAGGGGGAGGUAAUCCUUGAAACUCCACCGUAGUUGGGAUCGAGGGCUGCAACCCGCCCUCGUGAACCUGGAAUCCCCAGUAAUCGCGUGUCAUCAUCGCGCGGUGAACACGUCCCCGCUCCUUGCACACACCGCCCGUC
rnacentral:rRNA from 1 species